AUCAAAUCAACUGGAGGCAUGCUACCUGCCCCAGCCAGGGCAGGGCGGGACGGGGGGGCACCUGCUAGCCCCUUGAAAAGCCAUCCUCCUGGCCGCCCCACAGACCAGGCGAGCAGGGCGGGGCGGGGGCGUCACCUGGAUUGAGGCAGCCGAUGGGAGAGGGAGGGGGGACGAUGGCCGCCCCGUCUAGCCGGCGGCGGCCCGCGCUGCCUCCUGCUCGGCCUUGGCGAGGUCGGCCGAGGCCAGGCUCCUCUCCGGCGGGCGCUGCGUGCAGAUCUGCAUGUCUGGUUGCCGCUCCCCUCCCGGCCCUUUCAUUCAUGCCGCACGUAGCCUGCUACUCUUAAAGGGGCAACGGCGGGGAGGGGGGGAGCGAGAGAGGUGGUCCCUCCCCCGCCUUGAUCUCACUUGCACAAGGGCGAAGAAAGGACCGAGCCCGGACCUCGAUCUGUUGGGGGGGGGGGGCAGAAAUCCGCGUCGCUACUGACCGCCUCUCCCCGCCCGAAACUGGACCGGCGGCCUUGGCGAGCUGGGGUCGGUCUCCGAAAUCUCAGAAUCGGAAAUGGAGCCCGGGUCAAGCCCUGCCCUUACGAGGAAGGUCCCGUCCUUGAGCGCUUCCUCUCGAUCCCCAUCGCUGACGUUCACAGCCACCCGGCAAGGCUCCUGGGUGGAGGUGCCUCCUUUCGGGCAGGAGCCGCCCAUGCUGGCCUGCGCGCCCUGCGGCGGCGACCUGGAAGCGGUCCUGUUGGAAGCCCAGAUGGAGGCGGAGCGCGGCGACGGUCCACUCCUGGCAUUGAAAGUACCCGCUGCAGAGGACCUGAGUGUGGGGCAGGUGAGUGCCAGCAGGGAAGCUGUUGAAGGAACACCAUGCACGCAGGCCAGCCCCUCGCCCGCCCAGCUUCCUUGGAGGUCAUUGCUUCAGCUAGCUGCAGGAAUCCAAAGCGUGGGAAGGCAUCACGGCCAGCCCCACAGGAUAGGCUUCCAGGAGGCCCCAAGAGCUGGCUCCAAAGGGGGAGGAGAGGGUCUUUCCCACAGAUUCUGUUUCUCCUUGCAGAGGGAAGACCUGGAGAGCCCGGUCCAGAGGGGGGUCCUGGCUUGGCCAUGGUCUAGCGCCCCUGAACAUCUCUCCUCCAAGGAGUCAGCCUGUAUUUCCCCUGUGGUAACGUGCCCCUCCUUGCUCAGCCCGGCUCUGCACAGGAGGAGGGGGCUGCGGGACCCCCAGCUGCUACUCCUCAUCAUCCCCUCUCUGCUACUCAGCCAUGUCGUGGCCCUAGGCCUUGGCAUCUGCAUCGGCAAGCGCCUGGCCACCUCCUCGGCAAGCAGCCUGUGAUGGGGCACAGCCAUCUCUCCCUGGAUCCCUCUCUUCAGAGCCCUGCUCCCCCCUCUCCCUGAAUGGCCAGCUGAGGAGAGAUCCCCAAGCCAGGAUCAUUUCCCCAGGACCUUCUCCUGCCUGAAAAAAAGAGAAGAAACGAUGGAAAGAGCUUGCAAUCCAAAUAUCAUGUGUGUCUCAAUCUUUCUGGGCCUCAGGGGCCACAUCCGAACCCCCCCCAAAGUCUUGAUGGCCUCAGCCCCCAAGCCCCUUCUCCUGUCGAGGGGCAAGGAUUCUGCAGCUCCCUUCUUUUCUGGGCAGCUUGCUGGGGAGGGUGGGCCUGGUUUUUGACUGACAUAGAGAAGAUAGAUUUUUAAAUGCAGCAUAUGAGUGGCUUGUGGAAAUCCCUAGCACUAGAAGCCAUGGCAGGUGGUAUGCAAUAUUACCAAACCCAUCCAGGCAAAUUGGGGGCUCAAUGAACGAUAGGGAAGGAGACAGAGAAGCCCAGCCCGUUGUCCGCGGACAGAUUUCAAGGCUGCUGAAAUGGGGGGGGGAGGGGGCUCUGGCUCUUCCCCUUCCUGCUCAGUCCUUGGACCCAAAUGUUGGAACACCAGCUGGUUAGCAGGAGGGCACUCAGGCCAGAACGGCCCCCUCCCUGCCACCGGCCGCGUGCAGGCUGCCUCGCUCACCCUCAGCAUUAGAACUCCGCGGACUGCUCUCCUCUGCAGACUUGACCGCGACGCCCUUCCUUUCCGUGAAUAAACCCUGGUGAAAAGCUCUUGGUCGCCCA
rnacentral:lncRNA from 1 species